AUGGGGAGCCCUCUUAACCCAGUAGUAGCAAAUUUCUAUAUGGAACACUUUGAAAAACAAUCCCUAGAAACAGCGCCAAAAAAGCCAACUGUAUGGUUCAGAUAUGUUGAUGACACCUUCACCAUUUGGAGCCAUGGGGAACUCAGCAAGUUCCUGGACCAUCUUAACAGCAUCCACCCAAACAUCCAAUUCACCAUGGAAAAAGAAAAGGAAGGAAAACUGCCAUUUCUAGAUGUUCUGGUCAUCCGCAAACCCAAUCAACAAUUGGGCCACACAGUUUACAGAAAACCUACACAUACAGAUAGAUACCUUCAUAAAAACUCCAACCAUCACCCAAGUCAAAAAAGGAGCACAAUCAAAGCUCUGACAGACCGUGCACAAAGAAUCUGCGAACCUCACCUCCUCCAAGGUGAACUCAACCACCUAAACUGGGCUCUACAGGCCAAUGGAUACUCCACCACAGACAUCAGAAGAGCUGCAAGGCCAAGAACAAGCCAUGAGAGUCAAGACAAAGAUCCACCCAGAGGAAAGGUGUUCUUACCAUACAUCAAGGGAACUACUGACCGCAUAGGGAAGCUGAUGAAGAAGCACAACCUACAAACUAUCUACAGACCCACGAAGAAAAUCCAACAAAUGCUACGGUCAGCGAAGGACAAGAGGGAUCCUCUCUCUUCUGCAGGAGUCUACCGGAUACCAUGCAGCUGUGGACAAGUCUACAUAGGGACCACCAAACGCAGCGCCCAAACAAGAGUCAAAGAACAUGAAAGGCACUGCAGACUAAUUCAACCAGAGAAAUCAGCCAUAGCAGAGCAUUUGAUGAACCAGCCUGGACACAGAAUACUAUUUGAGAACACAAAAAUACUGGACCAUUCUAACAACUAUCAUGUCAGACUACACAGAGAAGCCAUUGAAAUCCACAAGCAUGUGGACAACUUCAACAGAAAGGAAGAAACCAUGAAAAUGAACAAAAUCUGGCUACCAGUAUUACAAAACUCCAAAAUCAAAACAGUAGAUGGGAACCAACACAAUGAGGACUUGACUGAACAAAGGAUGCCCCCAGGCAAGGGACAAAACAUUUCCAGUGCCAAUUAG
rnacentral:lncRNA from 1 species